AUUUUCUGAGGCCCAAACACAUUUGGCACACACGGAAUCUAGGGUUAAUGUCCAAAAGGAAAACUGAUGAGCACAUUUCAAAAUGGGAGUUAAAGCUUUGUAUUUCAGUGUCUUUUAACGAGGACAGCAAUAUAGCCAAGUGCAGCUGCUUUCUGCCAAAAUGCAAUCUGACAUUUGGAAGAGUUUUGUAUGGAGAAGCCAGGAGUCUAAGAAAUCAGUUGAGCUUCAUGGUGAAAAUGACACUGGAUUUAAAUCAGAAACCCUGGUUGGAAGCUUUGUUGGUCACUGGUUGCUUGUCUGGGUUUAUCUUGGGCACGACUCCCUUCCUAAGGCCCCUUCCAGCUUGCUACAUUAUUACUACAUUCCAUGCCAACCACAGUUGCCUAAUAUUAACUGAUUGUGCCACUUUUGAAUUACUGCCUGGGAAGCAGGACCUACUGAUUUUAUUUCUUUUAUUACCCAUGACCCCACAGAAAGGCAGAUUGGCUAGGAAAAAU
rnacentral:lncRNA from 1 species